GACGAACGCUGGCGGCGUGCUUAACACAUGCAAGUCGAGCGGUAAGGCCCGUUUCGGGGGUACACGAGCGGCGAACGGGUGAGUAACACGUGGGUGACCUGCCCUUAGCUCUGGGAUAAGCCUGGGAAACUGGGUCUAAUACCGGAUAUGACUCCAUGACGCAUGUUGUGGGGUGGAAAGCCUUGUGCGGCUAGGGAUGGGGCCCGCGGCCUAUCAGCUUGUUGGUGGGGUGAUGGCCUACCAAGGCGACGACGGGUAGCCGGCCUGAGAGGGCGACCGGCCGCACUGGGACUGAGACACGGCCCAGACUCCUACGGAGG
rnacentral:rRNA from 1 species